GUGAGACUAAGCGUACUCGUCAGACUUACAGCUGAAGACCAAACAUCUGUGGUGAAGUUCAUCGCGGAGUGGUUAUGAAGAAGCUCGUGAAUAUGAUCUGUCAUACGGUUGUAUAACUCCGCACACAGAUUCUGAAGAAGAGUUAAUCAAGGGCGUGACUGUUGGAAUCAGUACAGUUGUGGAUGACGCGAUGGACCCUAUUCCGUGUGACUGCGGUGAUGUAGCCCUUGUAAUGGAAGAAGUUGUCGUUCUACGCAAUCUUGGUGAUGUACCAAAUGCAUUUGUCAACUUGAUGGGAUUGCUUUAUGCACGUAACAUAAACUACCCCACAAACUUCAAAUACACCUUUGAGGUGAUUCAGAGGCUGUUCAUGAACAUCGGAGCUGAUGCCUGCAGUGCACGAGUACAUUCACUUAAAAAUAAUCUGCUCAAGUAGAGAUGGUGUUAUGCAUUUCUUGUAAGAGAGAUUUCAUGUGGUGUUGUGUUGUGUAUGUCACAGUUUCUAUACCUAAGCAGCAUGACUUCAGUUUUGUUGUAUAUUUUCACCUUUAAACACUGGGCAAUUGAAAUGUAAUGUUGUUAGGCAAAAACAGAUUUCUGCUUGCUUUUUCUGUUUAUUUUGAGAAAUUCAUGUAAUUUCAAGUUCUGCUCACGCCCGAGUCUGCUGACACGCACAGCCAAGCUCCGCCCAUGCCCAAGGUUCACCUGGUAACCUCAGAGCCUCAGCCCCCCUGUUCAGCUGCGGUCGUCGCUCAGCCUCCCUGUUCAGCUGCGGUCGUCGCUCAGCCUCCCUACGCCGCCAAGAACACCGGGCAGUUUCCUGGCUCUGUUUGGGACAUUCAGCCCAGGGGGCCGGGGCCGCCAAUGAAGUGGGAUGACUCAUGGCACUCGGGGGGGGGUUCUGUCACGAUUCCCCCUUGAAGCAGCGUGCUCUAAGCGUGAAUGUGCGAGCACCUGCUUUUCCGUUGUUGACUGUAAUGACAUCUGGACACGUGUGUUUUGUUUAUGUUUCUGUCAUGUCUCCUCCCUGUUCUGUCAUUGGCUGGGAUUUCACGUGGGUCUGAAUUGCUCUCAGCUGCUAGCGGUUUAGACGCUGAUCAUGUCCGCAUAUAUACUGCGCGCCUCCCAGCACACAACGCGGAAGAUUAAAUGUUUAGAGUUAGUUUAGCUCGUAUCAUAGUCAUAGUCACGGUCCAUGUUUAGAGUUAGUUCGCGCUGGAUUAUCCGCUUCCAGUCCCUCGUCAUAGUUGGUUUCUUGUUUUGUUUAUCGACCCUGUUUUCCGUGACCACGACCUAGAUUCCUGCCUUGCCCCGUGUACGCUUGUUUGCCAAUCGCCUGACCUCUUGCAUUUCGUUUCUUGUUUUGUUUAUCGACCCUGUUUUCCGUGACCACGACCUAGAUUCCUGCCUUGCCCCGUGUACGCUUGUUUGCCAAUCGCCUG
ensembl:lncRNA